rnacentral:rRNA from 1 species
AUUGAACGCUGGCGGCAGGCCUAACACAUGCAAGUCGAACGAGUGGCGGACGGGUGAGUAAUGUCUGGGAAACUGCCUUAUGGAGGGGGAUAACUACUGGAAACGGUAGUUAAUACCGCAUACCAUCGGAUGUGCCCAGAUGGGAUUAGCUAGUAGGUGGGGUAACGGCUCACCUAGGCGACGAUCCCUAGCUGGUCUGAGAGGAUGACCAGCCAAGCGGGAACGGAGACACGGGCCAGACUCCUACGGGAGGAGGCAGUGGGGAAUAUUGCACAAUGGGCGCAAGCGUGAUGAGGCCAUGCCGCGUGUAUGAAGAAGGCCUUCGGGUUGUAAAGUACUUUAAGCGGGGAGGCGUUACCCGAAGAAGAAGCACCGGCUAACUCCGUGCCAGCAGCCGCGGUAAUUC